rnacentral:lncRNA from 1 species
GGGAGACAUUAAAGAAUAUGUUGUUGUUUUAUUUUUUAUUUUUUUAUUUUUAUUUUUUAGAACAAAAGAUUUAACUUAAAACUGUAUAAUUUGGCCAACAUAUUUAAUUAAUAAAAUAGAUAAAAUAAAUAUUAAAAGUUAACCAAUACAAAGGAAAUAACUUAUCUUUUGGGGAAUCUAAUUAAGUUAGUUAAAAAUUAUAAAGUUAGAGUUAAAUAACAAACAAUAAAUAAUCACAAUUAAAUAAUUAAAGAGUAAGAGAGAAAUUGAAUUUGGGCCUCCUUUGGGCCAAUUUCGCUGGAUUUUUUUGGGUUAUAACCCAAUCCCGUUUUUGGUAUACGGUGGAUGUAUAUCAGUGUAUAUGAGCGUAUAUAUUAGCUCUUUUCAGGUAUUUCUUGCUUCCAAACAUAUGUAUUCCGCCUCAGCCCUGUAUUUCUGCGUUUUU